ACGACCGAAUCAUUCCAAGGCAAUGAUGAAGUAGUUUUAAAGAAGAAGAGCGUUAACGAGAACCAGAGAAACUUCUAAAGCGCACAGCCAUAGGGUUAGGCGAGGUUCCCGUUAGGCUGAUUAGCGAACUAGGAUCAAAAAGUAAGGAAGCUCUGUGGGAAGCAGUAGAAAAAGGCUUACAAGAUAGGCGAAUACCAGACAGCCGGAGACAAAGUAGAAUGAAUUUAAUGUAUAAAGAUAAGGGAGAAAAGAAUUGAAUUCACCCAUAUAGACCGUUGACCAUUAUAUCGGCAAUAUACACGUUAGCAAUACAGGUAAUUAAAUUACAAGUGCAAACAUGGGCAGAGAAUGGUAUGGGAGAACUUCAGAACGGGUUCAGAAUAGGCGUCUGGAUGAUAACUUAUUUGUUCUUAUUCAGUGUAUUGAAAUAUCCAAAGAGAGGAGACUGUUUUAUGUGGCUUUUUUAGAUAUUACCGGAGCGUAUGACAACGUAGACCACAAAAUUUUGUGGGAUAUUCUGGAAGGCAUAGGCAACGACUUUAUAUAGCUUUUGACAGAGACCUACCUAGAAAAUACAGUUUGCGUUGAAUGGGGAGGGAUGAGGAGCGAGAAGCAAGUUGAUAUCAACUAGGGACUGCUGUUUGUGAUGUACAUGGUAAGUAUGAAAAGGCCGCUAGAGGGAAGCAAUUUUGGGUUUUAUCUCUCAUACAAACAGGCGGUUAAAAUAGUAGAGCAGUAGCUUCCAGGUUCGUUUUAUGCCGACGACAUUGUGUUGCUAGCUAACAAGCGGAGUGUUAUGCAACGCCUGGAGAAUAUAUGUGCACAUGAAGGUAAGAAUUUAACAUUUGAAAUUUAGCGUUAGGAAAUCAGCUUUUAUGGUAAACAGUACUCAAUGAAAACAGUGAACAGACAGUAUCAAUACAGGGCCAGGAAAUACCUCGAGUAAAAGAACACAAAUACCUCAGUAUACACUUAAAAAAAAUCCACGCUUAAUCUCACGCUAAACUGUGAGUUUAAGCGUGACGCGCAUGUAAAUGAGGGGCGGACAAAGACAAUUGCACACGGUAAUAACAGGUGUACAAUAAUGAACAAGUACAAAGGGAAACAAAACAAGAUUAUACAAUAUUUAUGCAAUACUCCCAAAAAAGAAAACAGAACCUACAUGCUAACGUGCAUAGCACCCAAAGUACUGUUCGACUCACUGAAGAGGUCAAAAUUAUUGUUUACAUAAGCUAUAUACAUAUUCGUAUAGAGCUACCAAUCCCUCCAAAAUAUUACACAGACGCACGCACGCACGCACGUGCACAGCACACACGCCAAAAGGAAACGGCGACGCGCUCACAGGAAGCGCCUGACAAAAAAAAAAAGAAAAAAAAGGAAAAGUGUGGGGAACCGAGGUCGUUUGCGCUGUCGCAUCUCCCUCUCCCAGAAGGAAUGAAGAGGUUCUUGGAAAGCAGGGACGGGCGAUUCUCUCUGUCAGCAUCAGCUCCCACCAGCGAGGACGGGGCGAGAAAGCGAAGCGGGACUUUCCUUGCUGUCUAUUUUUUCUUCGUCACGCUCAACGCCGGCUGCCCGCAGGGGCGCAGGCGAGUUCCCGCCAAAUGGCGCGGGGGCGCAAGCAGUUGCGUGAGUUGCCGCCAAAUGCUAGCUCUGGAUGCCAGCUCGUUCCGCGUCUCUUGGUAGACUAGUUGGUGCAUUUCUGUUAUCAUGGACUGCGCAUAGAAACGCAAACUACACAAAAGUGACAUGGACAAAAACAGCGCAAGCCCUUUCCAUGCAGUGGAGCCGCCGUAUCUCGCCGUUCAAGAUAUGCGUACUCGAAACACUGGAACGACACUGCUUAAAUUGAAGCACAGUGUGCGAAUGACCUGCUACGCUCGGAACUGUCGCCACCAUUCGGGAAGAAAUCAGAUGAAAAAACAAAACUGUAUAUGCCUGUACGAUAUACGUCUGGUGCAUUGCAGGUAAGAAUGGAUUGUGUGUGGCACAUCUCCGCAUGUGAACUAGAGUAGAUCUAGGAACAUCAGACAAGAAGCCGCGUAUGUGAAACCCUGCGGAUAGCCCAUAUGUGAACUUUUUUUCGAGAUACGGAGGAACGGACAUCGGUCAUGCCGUGCGCACUCUUCUGCAGGGCAUACUUACAAAUGAAGCUGCACUGCAGUUCAGCUGGAAAGGGUCGCAGGGGAGGAAGCACGCCUUCGUGAAGCUCCCGGCCAUCACGAAUCUCAUUCUAACAUCUGUGAGGAGCACCUUCCCAGACGCUUCACUGGCUUCAGUGGCUGGAGUCACGAAACGCUGGUUAGUCGGAGCAGCUGACAGGGAUGGAGGCCGGAACGAGAGAAGGCGUCGUGACCCCGCUUCAAGCCCACCAUGAACUAGCAUUUGAAACUUUUGUGAACGUGUGGGUGUAUACAUAUCCAAGACAAAUACAAGAAAUAAAGACCUGUAUAAGAACA